UACGAAGGGGGCUAGCGUUGUUCGGAUUUACUGGGCGUAAAGCGCACGUAGGCGGACUAUUAAGUCAGGGGUGAAAUCCCGGGGCUCAACCCCGGAACUGCCUUUGAUACUGGUAGUCUUGAGUUCGAGAGAGGUGAGUGGAAUUCCGAGUGUAGAGGUGAAAUUCGUAGAUAUUCGGAGGAACACCAGUGGCGAAGGCGGCUCACUGGCUCGAUACUGACGCUGAAGUGCGAAAGCGUGGGGAGCAAACAGG
rnacentral:rRNA from 1 species